rnacentral:rRNA from 1 species
CAAGUCGAGCGGGAAAAGGGGCUUCGGCCCCUGAGUAUAGCGGCGGACGGGUGAGUAACACGUGGGUAAUUUGCCCUUGGGUGUGGAAUAACUCAGGGAAACUUGAGCUAAUACCGCAUGACAUCCUUUGCUCGCAGGAGUUGAGGAUCAAAGCCGGGGACCCUUCGGGGCCUGGCGCCUGAGGAGAAGCCCGCGCCCGAUUAGCUAGUUGGUGAGGUAAUGGCUCACCAAGGCGACGAUCGGUAGCCGGCCUGAGAGGGCGGACGGCCACACUGGGACUGAGACACGGCCCAGACUCCUACGGGAGGCAGCAGUGGGGAAUUUUUGUCAAUGGGGGAAACCCUGAACAAGCAACGCCGCGUGAAGGACGAAGACCUUCGGGUUGUAAACUUCUGUCGGAGGGGACGAAAGCGGUCGAGGCUAAUAUCCUCGGCCGUUGACGGUACCCUACGAGGAAGCCCCGGCUAACUCCGUGCCAGCAGCCGCGGUAAUACGGGGGGGGCAAGCGUUGUUCGGAAUUACUGGGCGUAAAGGGCGCGUAGGCGGGCGGACAAGUCUCUCGUGAAAGCCCACGGCUCAACCGUGGAAUUGCGGGAGAUACUGUCUGUCUUGAGUCCGGGAGAGGAGGGUGGAAUUCCCAGUGUAGCGGUGAAAUGCGUAGAUAUUGGGAGGAACACCGGUGGCGAAGGCGGCUCUCUGGACCGGUACUGACGCUGAGGCGCGAAAGCUAGGGGAGCAAACGGGAUUAGAUACCCCGGUAGUCCUAGCCGUAAACGAUGAGCACUUGGUGUAGCGGGUAUCGACCCCC